CAUCACGACGGCGCGGCGGAGGAAGCGGUGGGCGCCGUCGGGAAGCCCGUGGCGGGGGGGCGUCCCGAGGCUGACAUCCUGGACUUCAUCGCCGACGGGGGGGUGGAAGACCUCCAGCAGAGGCUGCCGGGGAUCGUCGUGCCGCUGCUGGAGGGCUGGUGGGAGCCCGACGGCCCGAAGAACCCAGAGGCUGCUUCCAGCGGAGCGUCUGCCAGGCCAACGCCGUGCUCGCGAGGGAGUACGGGGGCGCCGGGAGGGUCAUCGCGACGCUCAUGAGCAACGUGGGCAGCCGCUUGCUCUCCGGCUCCGACCCACAGGCCGUCCGCGAGACCCUGGACGCCGCGAGGACAGGACGCCGAAGGAGGGAGUCCUGCGAGGCGGCCUUCCCCUCCUGCCCCGGCCUGCGCCCUCGCCACCUGCAGCAGCGCCACU